rnacentral:lncRNA from 1 species
AAAAUAAAACUCAACAAAUUGAAUUAAUUCAAGCAAAUCCUAAACACAUAACAAGACAGCAGAAAAAUUAUACAUUAUCCAAAAAACAUCAAAGAUUGCUAAACAAAUUCAAGUUUCCCUUGAAACAUUUAAAACGAACGUACAUGGAUUUCCAAGCAGAGACCAAAUGAAGAUGCCAAAUUCUGAAACGAAACCGUGAUCUACGAACACAAUUAAUGAACGGGACGAUCUCGUCGGACUCGAACUUGAACCGACGACUGACCUGAACCUCAACCUCAGUUUCCCAUUUUUCUACUCUGUUUUUCUAGCAACUAUGCGUGUGUUUGUGAUAUUUUGAGAACAAGAGAAGGCUGGUUUGACCGCUGCGUUUUACAGCUGAUUCGGAUCUAUUUUUGGACUGCUUUCAGGUGGUGUUUCAGCUGGUUUGAGUCGAUGGCUUCUCCUUUUGUUUUUCGACAGGGUGUGUGUUGUGGUUGUUUUCUGGUGGAAACACGACGACGAGAAAGGGGGGGAGGGUCGCCUACGGUGUAUUCAGUUGAGAGCAGAAAAAUCCCCGCAGCUCCCCUUUUCCGUUUUUGCUUCUCUCCUCCCCUUUUCGGUGGUUGUGCGUGUAUCUUUAUAAGAGAGAUGAGAGAGAGGGCAACGAAAAAUGGGAUGGGGUGUGAACUGUAGAGGGAAU